CCCAACGCUGCCGAACAGAUGACGUUAUCACAGCGCUGCAGAAGUGAUGGAAGUCCCUGGGGAAUAAAUUUCGGCGCCUGGGAAGACGUUUCAGAAAGAAAAGAGCCGCGCCGUGCCAGUCGACGUUCACGACGACGUCAUCUGGCUGUUUCUUGACCAGAUGAUGUUUCUGCGCUACACAAUGGAGUGUAGACCGAUGUCCGCCAACCUUCCACCAGUGCCCCCAUCGAGUGAGGAGGGAAGUGCUGCAGACAUCUUAACAAAAAAUGUGCCUGUUUUCCGAUCUGGCAACACUUGAAGUGCCAUCACCGUCAAGUGAAGAGUCACAAGCGCCAGCAUCGACUCUGUCUUCGGCGUCGCAUGAGUCUGUGGAGUCUCAGGACAUUUUGGAAUCUCUUGAAUCACCGAUGUUUCAAGAAGUUCUGGUUCCUGAGGAUUCUGAGGCACACCACAGCAGUCCGCGGUCAGAAGCAUCGCUGGCUUCAGCAGGCAGUCGUAGGCUGGACACGUUAGGAAGCAUUGCUUCUGAAGCAAAGUCAAGGGGGAGGAAAAGGAAAAAGAAAGAUUAGAGUCAGUUAAUAUUGGAGGAAUUAGGCAAUGUUUCAAGUGCAAUCAAAAGAUGCAAACCGCAGGACGACCUCGAACUUUUGCCGUCUCUCUGCUCAAACACAUUAAAGAGGUCAGUGAGGAUACGCAUCUCGACUUGAAAAUUAAAUUGAUGCAAGUAGGAGAGUAAUUCAAAGAUUAAUGUUUUUUAAUGUAUACUUUUUGUAUAAUAAAGCCAAGAGACAAUGAAACAAAAGGAAAUCAUUGAUGAAUUUAAUUACUUUAUAUCGAAAUGGAAAAAUAAGUAGGAAAAUGAAAGUAUAUGAAAAGGUAGCUUCCCACUAAUGGGAGACGAACCCACAACCUUUGAAUUAUGCUUGCAUUGCUUUACCAGUAGAGCUGCAGCAAUGGCUAUCCCUCUGCAAACUUUCUUGGGCCUGUAUGUGCAUGUACUAUAUCUCACCCUUGUAGUGUUAGCCAGUGCUACUCAUGCAAGAACACUCCAAGAGGCUA
rnacentral:lncRNA from 1 species